rnacentral:lncRNA from 1 species
AUAAUAAUCCACAACAUUCCACAAGUUUUGGACACGUUAAUAUCAGAGCCUGCAUUAUGGCCUGAGCUUUGUAUCUACAGGGUUCCAAGAAAACUUCGAGCAAUAAAUCCAGCACCAUACACACCUCAGUUGAUUUCAAUAGGGCCUUUUCACUGCGAGGACAAAGCUUUAAUGCCUAUGGAGAAGCAGAAGCUGCGAUACUUGGCAGAGUUCUCCAAAAGGACUGGGAUUCCUUGGACUGAGCUUGCCAAAAAAAUUAAAGAGUGGGAGAUAACAAUCCGCCAUUGUUAUGAAGAAACAUUUGAUAAGGUAUCUAGUGUCGAGUUCAUAAAGAUGAUUCUCCUGGAUUCUGUGUUCAUCAUCGAGCUCUUCUUGAGGAGAGGAGAAAAAUAUGGAUUAAUUAGAAAACAAAGGCAUGGAAAUUUUAAAGAUGAUUUUAUACUUGGAAAAUCAACAAGGGAAUAUUGUUUACUUGGGGAUUUGAUAUUGGUUGAAAAUCAGCUGCCUUACUUUGUUCUUGAUGAUUUAUAUGAAUUCUCCAUCGGCAAUGAUAAUGAAGAAGGCUAUCCUUCUUUCUUUAACCUCAUGAAAUUUAACUUACACGACUACUUAUCUCCUCCAGAAAUUCAAGAAAAUGAAAAUUCUCCCUGCGAUUGCUUCUCUUGCUUGUAUUGUUUCUGGAUUAGUAGAUGCUUCUCCUGUCAAAAGCACGACUGUCAAAGCCCAGAUGAUGAAGAAGAAGACGACCGCCUUCUGGAGAAACCCCUACAUUUCACUGAUUUGGUUCGGAAACAUCGAUCAUUCAAGCAUCCAAAGUCGAAGAAUGACGGGUCCGUGAUGAAGCUAUACAACGCCACAAUGCUACACGAGGCAGGAGUGAAGUUUAAGGCGAGUCCAGAGGCAUGGCCACUCGAUAUAAAAUUUGAGAGGGGAGAGUUGAAGAUUCCAAGAUUCUUAGCGGACGAUAACACGGAGCGUGUUAUUCGAAACCUGAUGGCUUUCGAGCAAUGUCAUUAUCCAGACCAGCCAUUGAUAUGCGAUUACAUUUGGGUACUUGAUUUUCUCAUCAACACGGCGAAAGACGUGGACUUGUUAGUUCGCAAGGGGAUCAUUGUGAACUUGCUUGGAGACAGCGAAGCAGUAGCCAAAUUGGUGAAUAAUCUGGGACUAGAAAUUACAGCAUCUGGGUCUUGUUUUUACGAUCUGAGUGAGCAGCUGAAUAAGCACUACGAGAAUCCAUGGUGCCGUACGGUGGCGAUCAUGAGAAGCGCGUAUUUCAGCAACCUGUGGAGAGGAACUGGAACAAUUGCUGCUAUUGUACUCCUGUUCUUCACCUUCACACAGUCUCUGUAUUCCAUCUCCCAGAUAUUCUAGGCUUGGCUUGAGAGCUUGUGUACUUUUCUGUUUAUACAGUGUCGUUUCUGUAUUCCAUCUCCCAGAUAUUCUAGCCAAAUUGAUGAAUUAGGAAGCAUUGAUCGUGCCAUGGUUGUGGAAACCAUCAAAGAGGAUUUCCAAAGAUCGUAUUUCGUUACAGGUUUUUGGGAAUUGCACAUUUACAUUUCACAACUAAUUAUUGUUGAUUUUUGGUUUCUGCUUCGUCUUUAAUCAGAUGAUAAUGAUCAAAAUAAUUAUCAAGGCGAUUAUACUGUAUAGUAAUCUACCUGAUAAUAAUUGGUUAAUUACAGUUUGAACGAAAAGCUUUAGUUUUGUGCUUUAUGGGUUUUGGAAGAAAUUAUUGUCAUAAUCAUUCUUUUCCAAUGACUAGGAAAUCUCACACUCAAUGCAUACGAGGAGGAUUGUGAAUUUGCCGAUCCAGCUGGUUCAUUUCGAGGACUUGCACGUUUCAAGAGAAACUGUACAAAUUUCGGAUUACUUAUUGAGAAGUCGAAUAUGAAUCUUACAAAGUGGGAAGAUUUUGAGGUGAGAUCAUUGUGUUUUAGGCAUUAUGCUCAACAGAGCUAGGAAGUUUCAUUCAUGGAUUUUGCCAACACUAGUGGUUAGCUCCUCAACAUCUAAGUAUCAGUCAAAAGGCUGAACUAACUUAAAAGUCAUAGUGUCUUAUUUUUGCUUUGGUUAAUGAUUUUCCUUAGAGAACUCUUGACACCAAAAACUUUGUUUGGUUACAGGACAAGGGAAUUGGGCAUUGGCGUUUUAGCUGUAUCAUGUCAUUUCCUUGGAGGCCUAUUCUCUCUGGUAUGCUCCAGGAUCUCACAUUAAACUCAUCAUAAAAGACAUGUUAUUGCUGUAGAUAACUGGUAUUUCCUUAGAAUUUUCACUAUAAUUCGUCCAUUUGGAAUCAAGAAUUUUUGAUUUAUUUUCUAACGAGUCUUUUGUUUGGAAUGAAAGAAUUCAAUUCUUUUUAGCUCAAAAAACUUGUAUUUUAAAAGGAGAAAAUCUUGUAUGAUUUUUCAGUAAUUCUUUUGAAUUCUUUUAUUGCAAAAUGAAUUAUGCUAAACAAGCAGAUUAAGCUCAAGAAUCUGUGAGUUGAAAGUGUGGUAGCAUCAAAAAUGUAUCACAAGAGAAAUGGUGUUUACUAUGGAUGGAUUUCUUCUAAAACUUCUACUGUCUAUAGAACCACAGCUUCAAGGCUUUUGUAUACAAUUUGAUAAUAUAGCUCCAGAUGCUUAGCUGAUUAGAUCUGACUCUGUGAAGCUAUAUUGCAGCUACUGGGUAUACAGAGUACUAUUUUGAUGCACAAUCUGGAAGAGUAUGCAGGUAAUGAAUAAUGGGAUUAUGAGAAGACUUCAUUCUAUCUUUUCAAUAUUAUUGUUUCAGUCUUAAUUCAUUUAGCGAUGCAAACAUUUCAGGCAUGUAGAACACUGGAAUGUUCCCAAAAUGGCACUUCUAAAGCAGCUUCUAAAACCCAGCCAGGGAUCUUGGUUUGGUAAAAGAAACUCCUCAUGAAGAAUACAUGAACCUUUUCACUAGGAAAAAUAUGUAUGCAUUUAAUGAAAAUCGUAGUAAGGAUUGUGAAGGUUAGUGAGAGUUUUGGAUUGCUUUUGAGUGUUCAGAUGCAUGGUAACUAGUGAUAUUAACAACUUCCAAUCUUGAUGUAUGUAAUUGGUCGCAACACCUGCUAGCUAAAUCUGAAAAAAAGAAAACUGUUCAUAUCAUAAUCCACGUUUCAUGAGAUAGCUGAGUUUAAUUAUCUUCGGUUUUUUGUCAUGGCCCAAAGAUGAGUAACUUUUAGACUUUACAAGAUUAAAAUUGUAAAUUUCCCUUGACCAAUAAUUUUCCUCCUAAAUUAGCUUUUCUAUUAUCAUUUUUUUUUUGGUAUAUUAUCCUAUUGGUGCCAUGUCAAUCCAUUUACAGGUAAAGUGACUAUAGCUAGUAUUUCCUCUCCUCUAUUAAUGAGGACUAAACCUUCUACCUCAAUUAAUAGAAAUCAAUUAACUUUAAUGAUAUUAAAUUUAUUUACUGGUGUUAAAAUUCUAAAUAUAUUUAUUUAACUUUUAUUUUAGUUAUUUUUUAUUUAAUAAAUUUAUUUGAUAAAUCUGAAUUAGUUGAGCUAAUAAAUUUUGAUACUAAAUGGUUUAUGAAAAUAAAAAAAUAACGCAUUAAUGCCGCAAAGUGCAAAGGACAUUUAGUUCUUCCUUUUUUGACAAUUUUCUUUUUCUUUCAUUGGGCUAAAAUAAUAUUUUCUGAAUGCUUAGAGGAUAUUCACGUGCUUUUAUUUUGUAUAAAAUUAAAUUAACUUUGUCUUAAAUUAAUUAAGAUAAACAUUUAUUAUUAUGGGUUAAUUGGAUAUGCUAAAAAUUAUUUUAAAUUUUUUAUUAUAAUUAUUUAAUAAUGGCUAGAUUCUAAACGCUCGAGCAUUGGCAAAAUUCAAAACUAAAAAAACUGGGCUUAAGCUUUGGGAGGGCUCAGUGCACCGCUCUAAGUUUCAUAUGAAAUCAAGGCUAGUCAGAGCAGACCGGACUGGAUGGAUAUGAAUUUAUUCUUAAAAUCCUUGCUUGGAAUGCCCAUUUUUUGUCGUGGUAAAAUAAAUUUUGUAAUAAUCGAAUAAUUAUUUGAUGAGAAAAAAAAUAAUAUCAUACAUUUGUAUAUACUGCCAAUAUGAUUAUAGUAUAAAGAUAUGGAUACGGAAAGACGCUUAUAAAUUACUAAUAAACAAAAGAAUAAAAAAAUAUAAAACAUAAAAGAAAAAAAAUAAAAAAUAUAAAAAAAAAAUUAAAUUUACAAAAGUAUACUCUGAAACUAUUCUUAUAUCUCAAACAUAGUUAUUCAAAGAUUCAAAAUAAUUAGUAUGGAAUAUCUUUUGAACUCCAUUAUGUUAAAAGAAGGGAAAUCAAAUAUUAUCUUACAUAUAAUUUUACAUACUUAUAAACAAAUAUUGUACAAGCUAAAUUAAUAAAGUGCACAAUUUGAUAUUUUUAUUUAUAUAAUUUUGUAUGAAAAGGGUCAAACCACGUCACUAAUUCUUUUUAAAUGCUAAUUACACUUAUUUUGAUAUAAAUUAUGAAAAAUUAUGACAAACUUAUUUAAUCAACUUAAUUUUAUUUCAAAAAUGUGCGUAUGACAAAUAGGACAUAAAAAUUAUAACAUAUAUUGAUUUUUUAAAAAUUAUGAGAAAACUGAUAAAUGACUAUUUAAAUUCUGUCAAAAAUUAUAAUUAAUAUCGUUUGAUUAAAAUAAAAUAAGAGAAAAUAUAGAUUAAAAGACAAAAUUUUAUUGAAAUUCCCUAAAAAUUGAAAAGUAAGUUUUUAAUAGUUAAUGGAGGUUAUUUAUAAUAGAAACAAAACUCUAAUUAGCAAAAUUAUUGUAGAUAUCUAUUAUAUUCGAUUCAAAUCUGCCGUAAAAUCCAAAAUUAGUUAGAGUAUAUUAAAAUAUGUGUUCACGAUAAUUCCAGAAAUUCAAAAAUGUCCGUAUGACAAAUAGGACACAAAAAUUAUAACAUAUAUUGAUUUUUUAAAAAUUAUGAGAAAGCUGAUAAAUGACUAUUUAAAUUUUGUCAAAAAUUAUAAUUAAUAUCGUUUGACUAAGAUAAAAUAAGAGAAAAUAUAAAUUAAAAAACUAAAAAUUUUAUUGAAAUUCCUCAGAAAUUGAAAAGUGAGUUUUUAAUUAUCUAUAAUAGAAACAAAACUCUAAUAAGCAAAAUUACGAAAAUAUUCAAAAAAAUUAAUUAAAAUACAAAAUUGACCACCUAAUGGAAUUUACAUAUCAAACUUUGUUACAAAACUGCGGCACUCAUUACACAUUUAAAAGUCGUGCGUCUCGAAAUUUAUUUUUUGAAAAGUUAUUGUAGAUAUUUAUUGAAUGUCGGCAGCAAAAAUUAUAUUCGAUCCAAAUUUAUCGUAAAAUUCAAAACUAGUUACGGUAUAUGUUAACGAUAAUUCGCAGAAAUUCAAUACACUGUCCGGCUGCAUUCAAAUUCAAAGUAGACAAUUGAGAUUAAAAGUGAUUAAUUAGUUUGGGUAAGAUUCUUUUGCUCUGCGUUAAUGGACAAGAGGAGAAAGGUUUGUGUGACAGGAGCCGCAGGCUACCUUGGUUCUCACCUUGUGAAGAAGCUAUAAGAAAGAGGAUACAUCUUCCAUGCCACAAGAAGGAAUCUGGGUUUGAUGACCUUUCCUUUUCAAGCUUUUAAUAUGCUUAUCUACUUAAUUUAAUGUCCCUGAUGAAAUAUUUGUACAUCCUCUAAAUUGCAGGUGAUACUUCUAAGGCAGGGCUUCUCAAGGGUCUUCCAAAUGCAGAGACUAAAAUCAUAUACACUGCCUCUGUGGUGGCUGCAUCUCCUAUGAAAGAAGAUGGAACUGGGUUCAAAGACUCCAUGAAUGAAUCCUGUUGGACUCCCUUCAAUCUCUCAUUCCCUUACAGCAACGAGAUAGUGACGGUACUCAUCUUCUUAAUUUCUUCCUUAUUCAAUGAGCAUAUGAGCUCUUACAAAACAACCAAUUAUUAGUAAACUGCUUUGUUAUACAGGCGUAUACACAAUCAAAGACGCUCUCAGAGCAGAGGCAUAAUGGGGAGCUUGAGAUAGUGAGCAUUACAUGUGGAUUGGUGGGAGGAGGGGGUACCAUUUCUACAGGCAUUUCUGAUAGUAUGCUGGUGAUGCUUUCACAAGCCAUGAACGAUAAACAGAGGUAUGAAAUGCUAAGGUACUUGGAAGAAUUGAUGGGGAAGGUACCCUUAGUUCAUAUCGAAGAUGUUUGAGAGGCUCAUAUUUUCUGUAUGGAGAAAUCCUCCAUCUCUGGUAGAUUUUUAUGCGCUAAUGAGUAUUUGUCAUCAGCAGAGAUUGCCAAGUGUUUGCAAAAACUCCCAGCUGAUAUCAGUAUUCCUGAAGAGUAAGGUUUUUGAUGAAACUAAUUAAAUUCAAUGGGAUGUUAUCAAUGGAUUUACAUGGUUUUGUGUUAAUGAUUUUGGUUUCAUGUUUGUGGAAAACCUAGGGAGGGAGAUUGUUUGGGGGUCUACAAAGCUGGAGGAACUUGGUUUUAAGUAUAAACAUGAUAUUAACAACAUCUUGGAUGGUUCUUUUAAGCAUGCUCGCAAAUUAGGCCUAAUCUAAUUGCUCUUUGGGGAUACAGUGGGGAGACAGAACAAGGGAGAUAAUUCCCAAAGCUCUAAUCCUGAAUAAGAUUUAUAUAAUUCUUGUGGCUUGAUGCUGUGAAAAAAAUGGAUUAUGCUAUAAUAUUCAUUGAUCUUGCAAUCCAUGAAGACUCUUCAAUAAACUAAUAAUGAGUUUGAUCUCUUUAUAAUUUUCUUUCUUGUUAAACUUAAUUGCAAAAUUAAUUCUUCAUCUUUUACAAUAUUUGUUUUCAUUUGCAUUGUGUGAUGAAAAUUUUAAAUGAAAGAUACUAGGAUUAGUAAGAGUUUCAUAAAAUAAGAUGAAAAGGAUAAGGAAUAAAAGAUCUUGCCCCUACAUGUAGGAUAAUUCAUGAACUAUUAAUAUGAUGAGUAUUUAUUUGUAAUAUUUCAUAGUAUGAAACCUUUUCUUACAAAGCUUUUACCAGAGGAAGAGUACAUAGAGUGAAAUAAUAAAUAAUGAAUAUUCACAAAUUAAUUAAAAUUUAUUGUGGUUAUAAUAUAUAAAUAACUUUAUUUUAAUUAAUGUAUAAAUUAAAAAAAGACUUCAGCAAUUUAGGUCAAUAAUAAAAGAGACUAAAAUUUUAAAAGAUAUCAAAUCUGUCUUGGUAAAAUUUAUUGUCAAUAAUAAAAGAAAACAAAAUGAAGCAGCAAAUCCUAACAACUGAGUGAGAGUGACCGGUGCUCCAAUCUCUCUCUUUUGUCCGAUCAGCAGAGUAUGUUACCUAAGCAGAUUACGUAGAUUUGCUAAUCCAUAAUAAUUUCACCUCAAUUUUUAUAAGAUUUUAAAAGAGUCGAUGAAGUAAACAUUACACCUGCAGAACAAUAAUAUUGAAUAAAUUCGGAAAAAGUUCUUCUACUUUAUAUAGUUGGACCAAUCGUGCAAACUUUCUUGUACGUGUGAAUGGGGAUACCAUUAUGAUUUAUUAGAGAGAGAUAAUUAUUAAUCCCUAGCUGCUCCUAUAUAUAUGUGUGUUGAAAUGGGUAUGGAGAAAUGCAUCGAAAUAUUUGCAUAAGCUUAGGUUUUAGACGGAGGAGCUAACCCUAAUCCUCUGGCCUCAGCCACAAGCCAUUUGCUUCCCUGCAAACUUCCCCCUUAGGUUUGCACAAGCUUCUGAUCUCACGGUCUGCUAUGAUCACUUUAACUCCAUAAUCUUAAUUUGUUUAAUUAAUCUGCUUUAUUUCUAGUUUUUUGCAAUAUUUAGAAAGGGAAAAACUGUGAUAUUAUUAUCAUUAUUUUUAUUUUCUGAGAGCAUUAUUAUUAUUAUUAUUAUUAUUAUUAUAAAUUAACGUCUCUAUGUAUGGAAUAUUUUAGCUGUGUAGAUAUGGAGAAGUCAGGAACAUGUGAUUCAUGUAUUUACCUUUUAUUUAGCAUUAUUUAUUUAUAAAAAAAAAUUAAAUGAUUUUUUUUAAAUCAUGUAAAAAUUUAAAAAAUUUUAAAAUUAAAAAUAAUUAAAAUUUUUUCAAAAAUUAUUUUAAAAAAUCAAUUAAAUUAAAUUUUCACUAAAUCUUUUAUUUCAAAUGAAAUUAAGAUACCUUUCAACACUUAUAUAUCCACUAUAACAUCAGAUUAUUUGAUUAUAUUCUAUGCACGUGACAAAUAUAUUUGUGAAUUGAACUCAUAAUUAUUUAUUUUACGAUCGAAAUUAAUCGUUUCUAUCCAUAUAGUCAAAUUCGAGCUAAUUAAAUUAUUAUUAAAUAUUUAAUUUGAAUAUUGUUUAGAGGGAUGAUAUAGAUAUUUAAUUAUAUGAAUUUUUUUUUUUGGAUUAUUAUGUCAACAAUUCUGCAAACUAGGUAUUCUCAGAGAUGGAAAGCACAAGAGAUGCUUCAAAUCAAACUGAAGAUAAAAGCAAAGAGCUGAUAAUAAUCGACAACAUUCCACAAGAUUUGGACACGUUAAUAUCAGAGCCUGCAUUAUGGCCUGAGCUUUGUAUCUACAGGGUUCCAAGAAAACUUCGAGCAAUAAAUCCAGCAUCUUACACACCUCAGUUGAUUUCAGUAGGACCUUUUCACUGCGAGGACGAAGCAUUAAUGCCUAUGGAGAAGCAGAAGCUGCGAUACUUGGCAGAGUUCUCCAAAAGGACUGGGAUUACUUGGACUGAGCUUGCCAACCAAAUUAAAGAGUGGGAG